GUAGGGAAUAUUGGGCAAUGGUCGGAAGACUGACCCAGCCAUGCCGCGUGCAGGAAGAAGGCCUAUUGGGUUGUAAACUGCUUUUAUCUGGGAAGAAAAGGCCCGUGCGCGGGACAUUGCCGGUACCAGAUGAAUAAGCACCGGCUAACUCCGUGCCAGCAGCCGCGGUAAUACGGAGGGUGCAAGCGUUGUCCGGAUUUAUUGGGUUUAAAGGGUGCGUAGGCGGCUAUUUAAGUCAGCGGUGAAAGACUCCGGCUCAACCGGAGCAGUGCCAUUGAUACUGGGUAGCUUGAGUGUUGGAGGGGUACAUGGAAUUGAUGGUGUAGCGGUGAAAUGCAUAGAUACCAUCAGGAACACCGAUAGCGAAGGCAUUGUACUGGCCAACAACUGACGCUGAGGCACGAAAGCAUGGGGAGCGAACAGGAUUAGAUACCCGGGUAGUCC
rnacentral:rRNA from 1 species